UCAAAAAUUGAUAUAAUUAAAAGAUAUAAAAAAAAAUAAUUAAGAUAGUAAAGUAAAAGGAAAAGAAAAAUUAAUAAAAAUAUGAACUGAAAAGGAAAAAAAUAAUUUUAAAAAAAGUAAAAAUUUAAUUUUGUACCUUUGGCAUAAUGGGUUAAUAAUAUGUAAAAAUAAAUAGGUUAUUCUCGAAAUAAAAAGAUUUAUUUAAUAAAAAGAUAAAACUAAGUAAUUUUAACGUUGUAUAGUUAUAUUAUUAUUGUUAAAUGGUAGUGAAAUGCUAUUCGAUUUUUAUGGUAGCUAGUUUAUUUAAAAAACAUAUAAGUGUAAUAUAAUUAUUUUAUAUAGAAAUAUAAGUAGGAUUGUAUAUAUUGUCAAUGGGGGAUAAGCUUCAUGAUAGAAAUAAGAUGUCUCAAAAAUAUUAUUUUUUUAAUUAUAUGAAUUAAAUAAUUUUAAUAAUAAUUGGUUAAAAAACCUAAGAGAAAAAUCUUAAUAAAAAUAAAUAAAUAUUUAGAAAUAAUUAUAAUAAAAUAUUAUAAUGUUAAUAUGAGUAUUAAACAAAGAUAAAUAAAAAUUUAAUAGAAAAAUACAAUAAAUAUAUUGUAAAAUAGAAUAUAUAAAUUUUUGGAAAAAAAUAAAAAAAAUUAAGUUAAUAAAAGGAAUUAGGCAAAAAUCAAUUUCGCCUGUUUAUCAAAAACAUGUCUCUUUGAAAAAAAAAUAUAGAGAGUCGGACCUGCUCAGUGACAUAUUUAAUAAAUAGAAUAUGUUAAAUAGCUGCAGUAUAAUAACUGUACUAAGGUAGCAUAAUAAUUUGCCUUAUAAAUUGAGGCUAGAAUGAAUGGUUUGACGAAAGUUGAUCUGUCUCUUAUUAAUUUUUUAGAAAUUAAUUUUUAUAGUGAGAAAGCUUAAAUUGUUUAAAGGGACGAGAAGACCCUAUUGAGCUUUAUCAUUUUUAAUAAAAAAAAAUUAAAUUUAUUAAAAAAAUGAUUUUGAUUGGGGUGAUCAAGGAAUAAGAAAUAAAAAAAUAACUUCCUUAUGUAAAUAUAUUUGAUAAAAUAAUUAACCAAAUUUAUUGCUAACAAGAAUAAGUUACCAUAGGGAUAACAGCGUAAUUUUUUUAGAGAGUUCUUAUUGAUAAAAAAGAUUGCGACCUCGAUGUUGGAUUAAAAUAACCUUAAGGUGAAGAGGCUUUAUUAGGUAAAUCUGUUCGAUUUUUAAUAUUUUACAUGAUCUGAGUUCAGACCGGUGUGAGCCAGGUUGGUUUCUAUCUUUUAAAAAUAGUAAAUGAUUAUGUUUAGUACGAAAGGACCAAUAUUAAUCAAAACAAAUAAUUGGAAUAUU
rnacentral:rRNA from 1 species